rnacentral:rRNA from 1 species
GGGGAAUUUUCCGCAAUGGGCGAAAGCCUGACGGAGCAAUACCGCGUGAGGGAUGAAGGCCUGUGGGUUGUAAACCUCUUUUCUCAAGGAAGAAGUUCUGACGGUACUUGAGGAAUAAGCAUCGGCUAACUCUGUGCCAGCAGCCGCGGUAAUACAGAGGAUGCAAGCGUUAUCCGGAAUCACUGGGCAUAAAGCGUCCGUAGGUGGUUUGAUAAGUCUGCUGUUAAAGACUAGGGCUUAACCCUAGGAAAGCAGUGGAAACUGUCUGACUUGAGUAUGGUAGAGGUACAGGGAAUUCCUAGUGUAGCGGUGAAAUGCGUAGAUAUUAGGAAGAACACCAAUGGCGAAAGCACUGUACUGGGCCACAACUGACACUGAGAGACGACAGCUAGGGGAGCAAAUGGGAUUAGAUACCCCAGUAGUC